rnacentral:rRNA from 1 species
CCUACGGGAGGCAGCAGUGAGGAAUAUUGGUCAAUGGACGAGAGUCUGAACCAGCCAAGUAGCGUGAAGGAUGACUGCCCUAUGGGUUGUAAACUUCUUUUAUAAAGGAAUAAAACGAGGCACGUGUGCCUUUUUGCAUGUACUUUAUGAAUAAGGAUCGGCUAACUCCGUGCCAGCAGCCGCGGUAAUACGGAGGAUCCGAGCGUUAUCCGGAUUUAUUGGGUUUAAAGGGAGCGUAGGUGGAUUGUUAAGUCAGUUGUGAAAGUUUGCGGCUCAACCGUAAAAUUGCAGUUGAAACUGGCAGUCUUGAGUACAGUAGAGGUGGGCGGAAUUCGUGGUGUAGCGGUGAAAUGCUUAGAUAUCACGAAGAACUCCGAUUGCGAAGGCAGUUCACUGGACUGCAACUGACACUGAGGCUCGAAAGCGUGGGUAUCGAACAGGAUUAGAUACCCCGGUAGUC